CUGAAGCCGCCGUGGAACGGAGCAAUUAAACGGAGGCCCGCCGCUUCCUGUCGCGCGAAGGCGGCGGCCACGUCCUGAUUUGGUUCCGCGCGCUGAAGACUAACUGCUACAGGGCAUGAAAUGAAGAGACAGAUGAUAAGCUCCGCUCUCUCACGCUCCGGGGAGCACAGUCAGCCAUGAUGGAAUGAAUCGUGACGGGCGGGAAUCUCCAAGUCAGAUAAGUAUUUAUAGACACCAAGAGCACAGGACGCAUCCGCAAACACAAUGCGGACGUUGUGUGAUCUCCACUUGGAAACCGGCACCGCAUUGAUGGCAUCCUGCGUUUAGGAAGCCUGCUUAUGCAUGUAUGAGAUUGGAUGCAGCAGUCUGGAUGUUUGCCUGUUGUCAUAUGGCCACUGCCGCUGGAUUAAGGGUGAUGCAAACGUGGAGUGACGGGUUUUACAUGAAAUUAUACAGCAGCACAGAGAAGCAGCAGCAGCAACAGCACGAGAACAAGCAGCGCAGACGUCUCAGACGCACUCGGGGGCGCCGCAUCCGACGCCCGGUUUCCUCUACGCUGAUAAAGUGCCAGGUUUCAGGAAUUACCUGGCAAAACCGCAAUCAGGCCCGGAAGAGGAGCGGGAAUGUUCUCCCCCUCGGCUCCGGAGGGCGGUUUAGGGAAAGACCAGCGAGUGCAUGUCAGCGCUCAACUUUAAUUUAUGUAUAUUUCUUUUGGUGGGAGCUCACAACAGCAUGACAUGCAGGCUGAGCGCUUAGUCAGCCAUGUUAUUGGAUUUCCCUGCUUUUUCUUCCCCUCGCUGGGAAUGACGGCGCGCACGCGGGCUUCCGGGCAGGCGACAUGUCUGUCUAACAGCAGAUGCUUAUUCUCAGCAGUAGCGCCUUCAUCGGAGCUCCAGCUCAAACGCGGCAUCAGACGACGCAGAGGUGCUCUGUGGCCUGAUGGACGGUGUUCGCAGCAGGACGGGCCGCGCGAGGACGGAGCCACUUAUCAUUCUGAGUGAUCAUCCACGGGUGACCCGGCGACAGAGAUGUCGCCUGGCGGUGCCGCCUGACAGCUGGCGGCUCAGGUGAACCAGCGGAACCAGAGGAUGAGAGCAGAUUUAGAGGCAGAGUCCUCCACAGCUCCGGUCAAACCAUUGCUCAUGCUGUGGAAUUCCUGCAGCACGGUAGCGAAGGGUCCUGCAGCUCUGGGCCUUUGGACCAUGUGGCUUCUGGAGCACACGCACUGUCAUCACUUAGCAGGAAGUCAUUUAGUGCUUUUGCAAGUGCAGUUUCAGUGGAGUGACAAAAACACAGUGGAUACUGUUGGUCCAUGAUUAUGGACACAGCAGCAGCUGUGGACAAUGCACGCUGGAAGUGAUGUGCUCCAAAAACAUCCACAGCAAAACCAAGACUACGCAGAAAGAGCUGAAAGGAGGUGAAUGAAUGAAUUCAUUACCAAACUCCUAAUAAACAAGUUUUAACAAA